rnacentral:lncRNA from 1 species
CCUACUUAUUCUAAGAGCCCCCGCUCACUUACAACUUUUAGUUCGCCGACUUAAUCGGCCGAGUAUAGAGGUCAAUCUCGGACUGAUUUAUUAAUGUUUUAUGUUUGUCCUCAUAAUAUUUCAGCUAAUACAUUACAAACGUGAUCUAAAUCUAAAACCAUGGUUGAUGGUUUGUAUAAUUUGAAAAGGGAUAGAAGUGAUAAAUGUUAAAUGGUCAAAUGUAACUUUUACGAUGUUUUACAUAAUUUUGAUGUUUAUCAAACCUUGGUGUUCUGUGUCAAGCGCAUAAGUCGCCCGCGUCGAUAAACAUUGGCAUACUGCAAUUUGCGCACGGGUUUGUGCGUGAAUUGAAUCUAUCGUGUGAAGUGUGAUAACAAAAUGUUGUGGGUGCGGCGUGUAAAUGGAUAUGUA